ACCCUGAGCAACUUUGACUUAGAUCAGUCU
rnacentral:piRNA from 1 species